ACUGGGAAGGAUAGCUCUGACUUACCCACUGUCGCCCCAAACCCCUUUCAGGCAGAGCCAGGUCUGUGAGUGCCGAGGCUCCCAGGUGGAGGGCAGGAGGGCACUCAGCUUCGCAGACUGGGGAGAUGUGAGACUGGGACGCCCAUGUCAUCGACGCCCAUGUCCCCGCUUCCUGGAAUCAACGAAGCCAAAUUAUUCAUCAGAAGAUUACUUAGUAAACACAGAAUCAAACCAAACUACUGAGUCCACCUAGCUUCUCCUCCCUCAGGGUUUUCCAUCGGACAGCCUCUCACCUUGCCCCAUAGCAGGUUCUUUCCUACCCUCUAAGUGACAGCUGGGAUGUCAGCUCCUCAGAGGCCCUUCUGAGGCCCCUAUCAUUCUCUCCCAUCACUCUGUUUCCUUCUUUCUUGGUACCUCCCACAAUCUGUCAUUUUAUUUGUUUACUGUCUCUCUCUCCCACUAGACUCCACGAGGCCAGUGACCCUGACUGCUAAAGGUCAUAAACCAGCAGUCCAUGGGGCCACCACACACUUUUUUUGGUUUGGCUUGUGCAGUGUUUUUCCAAAAAUUCAAUUUAUUGGGAAUAUUUAAAAAUCAAGAGAUUUUAUAUAAAAAUCUGGAUUUCCAGGUUCUCUUGAAAAAGAUCUAGCACAAGGGGCUGGAUGUGAGUAGCAGCUGCAGCCUCUAGCUCCAACCUAACGCCCACCACACCCCAUGACAUCACACUUGGCUACGGUCUGCACUCCUUUAUCUUACCUGCCUGGCCCCUGGAGGCCUGUGGCGUCUAAAACCACUCUUUUCACCCCUGCAGCGGAGAGCGUUUCCAUUAAUAAAUGCAAAGAACAAGAAGGGUUGACUGAUUUGAAGGAAAUAUUCAUCUACGCUCCGAGAAGGCUCCACCACACACGAUUUGUAAGACACAAAGGACAUCCUUCAGGCGCCUGAAUUCUUCUCGGUCCCCCAGAACCAGCAUUACUCUCUCUUGGCCUCGUGCUAAUGAGCUAGGUGUCCUUUCCUUAGAUUAUCUAAAUGGUAAAUUUACAGACUAAUCCAUUUUUAGAUUAGAUUCAUCUAAAUGAUAAAUUAAUCUAAAUGCCAAAGUUAGGGUUUGGGUUAUAUUAUUCUAGGUUGAUUAAAUAAAGGUGCCGCCGUAAAUCUGCAAAGAAAGUGGGAGUAAGUGUGUGACCCGGUGGGUAGGUGGGUGGGUAUGAGAUAGGGGGCAUCUGUCAUGUGCGGGACGCUCGGCAGCUAAAUCCCCUCUAAGGAGUGCCAAUAACCCCCAGGAACAAUCCUUCCUGGAGCAGGUAACGCCGCAACAGAGUCAAGAGGAUGGAACGUGCCAGAGAACAUAGUGCGCAGGCGCGCCCGAAACCUCCGCCAAUUUUCUGCGCAGCCCAGACACCUUCCUUCCGCACUGCGCAGGCGCCUAGACUGACUAAGCUUUCCCUCCCCCUUCCAGCUCUCCGAGAGCCAGGAGGACGCCCUCCUGCAGCACUGAGCUCCUGCGCAAGCGCCGCGCCGCAUCUCCGCCCCCGAACCAAUUGGAAGAGGCGGCGCUUGGGCGCUCAGGGCACGACGCCGUGGGUGGGGCCGGGACGUGAGUGCAACGCGCUGGCGUCACAGGGGCGGCUAUAUAAGUGAAUACAGGCGCCGCCCCUCCGCCCCAGUCACUGAGCCGCCGCCGAGGACUCAGCAGCCUCCCCCUCGAGCCCCCUCGCUUCCCGACGCUCCGUCCCCCCCGCCCGCCUUCUCCCGCCGCCGCCUUCCGCAGGCCGUUUCCACCGAGGAAAAGGAAUCGUAUCGUAUGUCCGCUAUCCAGAACCUCCACUCUUUCGACCCCUUUGCUGAUGCAAGUAAGGGUGAUGAUCUACUUCCUGCUGGCACUGAGGAUUAUAUCCAUAUAAGAAUUCAACAGAGAAACGGCAGGAAGACUCUUACUACCGUCCAAGGGAUCGCUGAUGAUUACGAUAAAAAGAAACUAGUGAAGGCGUUUAAGAAGAAAUUUGCCUGCAAUGGUACUGUAAUUGAGCAUCCAGAAUAUGGAGAAGUAAUUCAACUACAGGGUGACCAGCGCAAGAACAUAUGCCAGUUCCUGGUAGAGAUUGGACUGGCUAAGGAGGACCAGCUGAAGGUUCAUGGGUUUUAAGUGCUUUUGGCUCAUUGAAGCUUAAGUGAGGAUUUCCUUGCAAUGAGUAGAAUUUCCCUUCUGUCCCUUGUCACAAGUUUAAAAACCUCACAGCUUGUAUAAUGUAACCAUUUGGGGUCUGCUUUUAACUUGGACUAGUGUAACUCCUUCAUGCAAUAAACUGAAAAGAGCCAUGCUGUCUAGUCUUGAAGUCCCUCAUUUAAACAGAGGUCAAGCAGUGGGCGCCUGGCAGUGUCCAGCCUGAAACAAAGCAAUAAUGUGAUGUUUCGGCCAAGCCCAGAGCCCCGAGAUCACAGAUGGCUAUGUCUGGCCAGAAGCUCCUCGGCUCUCCCUCUACAGAGUUCCCUGCCCUGAGAGAAUGUCACCACCUGAGCAGCCCUUGGUGAAGCUGAGAGGAGAGGAUGGGGUAAGGCAGCAACGGCAGCUGCACCACUAGGCGGGAGCCUUUGGUGGUCGAAGAGUGAUGCCCUGGUGUCUCCAGCCUGCCCGGGUGCACAGAGCUUAGAGUGGCCCCCUUCCCUCUAAUGAGGUGAUAGGACAUCUGGCUUGCCAGCGAGGUCUUUUUGACCAGACAUAUCCUAGCUAAUUGAUGUCCAAACACCAGAAUGUGAGGCCACCCUUCUAGCAGAGUUAAACUUUUGACAAGGGAACAAAUCUCAAACUGAUAUGUGUCAGUCACGUAGCCAGCUGUAGAACUUGCGGCUUGACUAGCAGCAGCUGCCCAAUGCCAUGUGAAGUAACAAACUGGUCUUUGGUUUUUUCCUUCCCUUCAGUUUUAAUGUUAUGUAAUGUAUUUAAACCCUUAUUUAAAUAAAACUUGGUUUUCAGAAACACCUGAUUUGCAGAUUCUAUUUUUUUGUAUAGCCGAUCUUGUAUGUGAAGAAACUGCAGAAAUGGGCAGUGGCUGUUAGGUCUACACCCGUAGCUUCUCAACUGGGGCCUGAAUCUCUUGGCCAAGAAAACCUAGUGAGCUUGUCCCUUCCAAGUGCCCCACGGGUCAGCUGAUUUGCGAGCAUUUAGCCAGGGGUACACGAUCCCAUUAAUCUGUCCUGAAAGACGGUGCUGCGUGGCUGAUGGAUGCUUGGCCAGUAGUCUGAGUGAUCAGUGGUUACUGGGCUGUCACUGCUCUCAGUGGUUGUCGAGGAACUUGUGAGGUGACAGAGCAGGUUGAUUGGAAAUCCCUGAGUUCCCUCAGUAAAGGGGCCAUGGCUUAAAGCUGUAACAAAAGGGCAAACGUGGUGUGGGAUUUGAUCUAAUCCACAAAGCCCUGGAAGAGAUGCACGAGCGUGUACUUCUAGGGAAUAGGUUUGCAGUAUUAAAAAGUUCAGUGACUAAAGUGUUGGAGAUGAAAUUGAACGUUGGGAGGCCACCCCUUCACAAAGGAUGAUGAGUAGUAAGUAUAUAGAGGUCUAUUCUUGGGGCCGUUGAUUCUGUUACAUAAUAGAAUUCUUCCAGCAUGUGGAUCACGAGAACUGGUACUAAUUUCAGGUACAGAAAUAAAGGCUUCAAACCGCUGAGAAUGGUCAUGAGGAAUCAGCCCUUUUCGUGUUUGUUGCCAGCCCCUGUCUUGUAGAUAAAGGCUAACCUGGAACCGGCUGAGGUGUGGGGGAGGGUGGGUGAAAGGCUGAGCCACCGGCAUGUGCUCUGGAAAUAGAAGAUGAUUCUAACCCCAGAGGUGGAAGCUUUAUUAAGAUAAGGUCCUACAAAACUGAUCUAGUAAAAGGAAGAAUUUACCACUUGACUCCAGACUGAUAGUCUUCAAACGUGUGGGUGAUACUUUGAAAUCAGUAAGAUUUGACUGUAGACAAGAGUGCUUUUCUUGAGGCACUUGUGGAAGCAACCCUGGAGGCUGUCCCCACAGAAAACCACAAGCAGAGGGUGGGAGGAAACAAUCACAGGCUGUAGGUUGAUGUGCAGGUCCUGUGCUGUGCUGUAGCUCAGCUUAACAUCUUUUGCUCCUUUUAAGGACCUCCAAUUCUCUAGAAGGAUUAUUCCAAGUUAAAGUAGCAACAUCAGUAUUAAAAUCAGCUGUCUGGAACCAAGCAAAACCAAUUACCUGUGAACUAGGAGGUUUGUCGACACUGUAGUGCAGUUGAUGUGACUUGGGUGUACCUCAGGGCUGAAAUUAAGCAUAGUUCUCUCCACUUGAUGAUUGAGAAAACAGAUGUGGGAGUUUGCAAGGCUGGUAAGUGGUGGAACCUCAUCUGGAACCCGGGACUCUCUGCUCUUCCGUCGGAUGACGACAUUCACAAUCUUAGUAGCUCAUUUGACAGAUUGGUUGGUACGCGCAGUGCAUCGUGGGGAAUCAGCGCACAAAGGCGAGUCAAGCAGACACCCUGUGCUUGGGAAGCUGACGGCCUGAGAGGGCUGUCAAGACCAGCACAGAGCCUUGACGCGAGGCAGAAAGGGGCAAUGCCACCACUGGUGUGGCCGAAGAGCCACAGGAUCUCUGAGGAUUGGGAAAUCUUCCCCACCCUCAUCUGUGCCAGGGAAGGCUUCAUAAGGGAGGUGCCACUGAAGUGGGGCAUUCCAGGUAACGUGGAACAGGAGUCAAGACCUAGAGGUGGAAGCACCCAGUGUGUAUGAGGAAUCUAAGCUAGGACCGUUUGGCUGGAACAAAGGGCCUGCAUAGAGCAGAAAAAUACAGUUCUGUCUCUCACUGUGUGCCAGGCGUGUGUCAAGGGCUUCAGGUGUACAUCGACUCAUUGAUUUAGCAGUAGAGCCUCAGUCCCAUGGUGACACUGAGACUCAGAGAGGUAACAUAACUUAGCAAGUAGGUGGAGAGAAGGGAGUAGAGGAAAGUGAGGGCUGGAAGGUUGGUGUGAGAUGAGAGCAGGCUAAGACCUUUAGAUGUUUCUGUACAAAAGCAUCUCUGACAAAUGUCUCGCGGCGCUCUGCUCCCUCGUUCCUCUCCCCGACCUCCAGUCUCUUCUGUCUAUGUCCUCGUUCCCCUCUCUGUCCAACAUUCACCCCUUCCUUCUUCUCCCGUUACCUCCCGUGUCUCCCCUCAGUCUGCCUGCCCCACCCCAGGCCUCAGCAGCCCUCCUGCCCCGGUGCCCACCCUCUGCAAUAGGGACAAGCAGGGACAAACCGAAAAUUCCUUAAAAUGGUGCUGUGAAGACAAAAUGUGAACUGGUCAGCUAAAACUGAGCAGCAAUCUACAAAAACUAAAGCCUAUUCUAAUUUUACCUAGAAAUAGGUCAGAGAAACAGUAUCUUCGGGAGCCACACAUUCCACUCGGUAGCUCGACUUGACCCCCGUCCUUGUUUACAAGCCGGAGUGGUGCCCUCUUGUGGCGUCAGUGUCGAAACACAGGUCUCUCUUCACAAGAGCGAAAUUAAGAGCUCCUUGACUAGUUUUUAACUUUUCAGGAGAUAGACAUUAUUUCAAAAUUAACACAAAAUCUGAGGCUUUGGUAAUUUCUUCUCUUGCGCUCUCUUAAAUCUUCCUAAUUCAAAUAUUCAUAAAAUGCACUGUUCUUGGGGAGCUUGUUAAAAAUUCCAGUUCUAGGCCCCACCCAGGACAGUCUGGCUCUCCUGGGUGUUAGCUGAACAAUGCCCAGGUCCCACCCACUUCCCAAGGGCCUUCAAAAAUGUCUACGAACUGAAAAGAAACGUAUCUUCUCCAAAAUUUGACCAAAAAUCUGCAAAAUCAGAAUGAAUAACGGGGACGCUUACAACAGGGAACAUUGGCAGUAGCUGCGGCACAAUUCUUACAUAACUAUAUGGAAACGUAAUAAGCGUUUUAGAGAAAGAACAAUAUUGACUAUUUUUUUUUAAAGAUUUUAUUAUUUCCUUUUUUCUCCCCAACACCCCCGGUACAUAGUUGUACACUCUUCGCUGUGGAUUCUUCUAGUUGUGGCAUGUGGGACGCCGCCUCAGCGUGGUUUGAUGAGCAGUGCCAUGUUCGCGCCCAGGAUUCGAACCAACGAAACACUGGGCCGCCUGCAGCGGAGCGCGCAAACUUAACCACUUGGCCACGGGGCUAGCCCCAAUAUUGACUAUUUUUAACAAAACUUAGAUUUGUAAAAUUUAUCAACAUCUUUUCAAAAAUAUUAUGGAAAAUACAUAGUUGUUUGGCCCGUGGGUGCAUUUUCUUCGUCUGGUACGAGAUGUGACCGAGGCUCCAAGGGUCGAGUGCCCAGCCUACAAACUCCAGGGAAUGGCCUGCCUUCAGGCAGAGAUUCUGAUCCGGAAGCUCUGAUGUGGGGCCCAGGAACCGGCCUUUUUAACCAGCAUCAGCCAAUUCCUCUGGGAGAGCCACAAACCACACCUGUGGAAACACUACUGUGCCUAAUGGGGAGCUAUCCCGGAAACUUGAGCAGGAGAGAAGCAUCAUCGAGCUAAACUUCCGGGAAAGUAAUCAGGAGUAUUAUAUUUAAGAUGGUUUGACAAGGGGGC
rnacentral:lncRNA from 1 species